rnacentral:rRNA from 1 species
CCUACGGGUGGCAGCAGUGGGGAAUAUUGGACAAUGGGGGGAACCCUGAUCCAGCCAUGCCGCGUGUGUGAAGAAGGCCCUCGGGUUGUAAAGCACUUUCAGUGAGGAAGAACGCCUGGUGGUUAAUACCCAUCAGGAAAGACAUCACUCACAGAAGAAGCACCGGCUAACUCCGUGCCAGCAGCCGCGGUAAUACGGAGGGUGCGAGCGUUAAUCGGAAUUACUGGGCGUAAAGCGCGCGUAGGUGGCUUGAUAAGCCGGUUGUGAAAGCCCCGGGCUCAACCUGGGAACGGCAUCCGGAACUGUCAAGCUAGAGUGCAGGAGAGGAAGGUAGAAUUCCCGGUGUAGCGGUGAAAUGCGUAGAGAUCGGGAGGAAUACCAGUGGCGAAGGUGGCCUUCUGGACUGACACUGACACUGAGGUGCGAAAGCGUGGGUAGCAAACAGGAUUAGAUACCCUGGUAGUC